UACGAAGGGGGCUAGCGUUGUUCGGAAUUACUGGGCGUAAAGCGCACGUAGGCGGAUUGUUAAGUUAGGGGUGAAAUCCCAGGGCUCAACCCUGGAACUGCCUUUAAUACUGGCAAUCUCGAGUCCGAGAGAGGUGAGUGGAAUUCCGAGUGUAGAGGUGAAAUUCGUAGAUAUUCGGAGGAACACCAGUGGCGAAGGCGGCUCACUGGCUCGGUACUGACGCUGGGGGUGCGAAAGCGUGGGGAGCAAACAGG
rnacentral:rRNA from 1 species